GUGAGGAAUUUUCCGCAAUGGGCGAAAGUCUGACGGAGCAAUGCCGCGUGAAGGAUGAAGGCCUAUGGGUUGUAAACUUCUUUUCUUAGAGAAGAAUAUUGACGGUAUCUGAGGAAUAAGCAUCGGCUAACUCUGUGCCAGCAGCCGCGGUAAGACAGAGGAUGCAAGCGUUAUCCGGAAUGAUUGGGCGUAAAGCGUCUGUAGGUGGCUUCAAAAGUCUCCUGUCAAAGAUCAUGGCUUAACCCUGGGCCGGCAGGAGAAACUCUGAGGCUAGAGCUUGGUAGGAGCAGAGGGAAUUCCCGGUGGAGCGGUGAAAUGCGUAGAGAUCGGGAGGAACACCAAAGGCGAAAGCACUCUGCUGGGCCACAACUGACACUGAGAGACGAAAGCGAGGGGAGCAAAAGGGAUUAGAAACCCCGGUAGUCC
rnacentral:rRNA from 1 species